CAUCAAGUUGUACAAUGGCUGUGUUUGUGUCAUCAAGUUGUACAAUGGGCCAUUGUACAACUUGAUGAACACAGCCAUUGUACAACUUGAUGA
rnacentral:pre_miRNA from 1 species